rnacentral:sRNA from 1 species
GCCGGGCGUGGUGGCUCAUGCCUGUAAUCCCAGGACUUUGGGAGGCCGAGGUGGGUGGAUCACCUGAGGUCAGGAGUUCGAGACCAGCCUGGCCAACAUGGUGAAAACCCGUCUCUA